rnacentral:rRNA from 1 species
GAUGAACGCUAGCUACAGGCUUAACACAUGCAAGUCGAGGGGCAGCAUAAAACUAGCUUGCUAGUUUUGAUGGCGACCGGCGCACGGGUGAGUAACGCGUAUCCGACCUACCCAUAACACGGGCACAGCCGCUCGAAAGAGUGAUUGAUUCCCGAUAUGUCUUGUGAGUAGAUUUCAAGAUGAAAGAUUUAUCGGUUAUGGAUGGGGAUGCGUAAGAUUAGGUAGUAGGCGGGGUAACGGCCCACCUAGCCGACGAUCUUUAGGGGUUCUGAGAGGGAGGUCCCCCACACUGGUACUGAGACACGGACCAGACUCCUACGGGAGGCAGCAGUGAGGAAUAUUGGUCAAUGGGCGGAAGCCUGAACCAGCCAAGUAGCGUGAAGGAUUACAGCCCUACGGGUUUUAAACUUCUUUUAUAUAAGAGUAAUGUGCACUACGUGUAGUGUAUUGCAAGUAUUAUAUGAAUAAGCAUCGGCUAACUCCGUGCCAGCCGCCGCGGUAACAC